UACGUAGGGUGCAAGCGUUGUCCGGAAUCAUUGGGCGUAAAGCGCGUGUAGGCGGUCCGGUAAGUCCGCUGUGAAAGUCGGGGGCUCAACCCUCGAAUGCCGGUGGAUACUGUCGGGCUAGAGUGCGGAAGAGGCGAGUGGAAUUCCUGGUGUAGCGGUGAAAUGCGCAGAUAUCAGGAGGAACACCAAUUGCGAAGGCAGCUCGCUGGGACGUAACUGACGCUGAGACGCGAAAGCGUGGGAGCAAACAGG
rnacentral:rRNA from 1 species